GUGCUUGCUUCAGCAGCACAUACUCUAAAAUUGUAACAAUACAUAGAAGAUUAGCAUGGCCCCUGUGAAAAGAUGGCAUGUAAAUUUGUGACACAUGCCAUACUAUU